AGGAAAUGGUUGGUUUCUUGAUGACGUUGUGAUCAAGGAUCCCACAACGAACCAUGAAUACAGCUUUUUCUGCCACAGAUGGCUGGAUCAAGGGGAAGAUGAUGGUAAAAUCAUCAGAGAACUGUAUGCCAGGAAUAACAGUAUCCUCUCUGCAAGGCAAAAGCUGGAAGUUAUUAGAAAAGAAACA